GCAAACGUUUCUACCGGGAACCGUCGAAAAUAAUAGAAAUUUGCCAAAUACGCUUUUAUCGGAACAGACUCGCGUGUAGCAAAUUUCGUUGAGUUUUCGCUAAGAUCGAAAGCUCUCGAAGCAGUACCGACUGUUUGAAAUUCUAAUUUUUCAUUCUAAAUUUAACCGUGACGAUAGUUCGGCGAUCGACGCGCUAAGAAAACGUUCGGAGGAAGAGGAGAAGGCAACGGCAGAAAAUUCGGUCCUUGUAUAUUCAACUGUGUUUGCACGGAGCGAACGUCGUGUCUAGUUUUGUUUCGAGGGCAUUUUAGCAACCGGAACCCUGUUCCGGCUAAUUCCCGCCUGUUUGGCGAAUGGAUAAAGCUUCCAUGAUCGAGUUUCGCGUGGACAGACGGUACGGAUAAUUACAUUCUUCGAGCGAAUAAACUGGACGAACUUCCGGGCAAAAAACUUUUACAAUCAACUCGAAGCUGCUCGGGAAAGUUCUCGCGCUUUAAAAUUCCUGGCGGAACAUUGUCGGAGGAGUUGCAACGGGCAACGGAAACGAGGAAAGAUUAAUUUUACAUUUCAACGCGAUGCGUCAGGAUCUUCUGUACGAACGAAGAAACAAUGGUACAGCGAUUGAACGAUUAGGAGGGGGCGGCGCUCGUCAGUCAAACCCUGAACCCGUUUCUGGCGUAUGCAGAUGAGCAGCCCAUUGUCUUCCUCCGUGCAAUCCUCCCGGUGUAAUUACCUCGAAGCGCACCUGAAGUACAUGCCUCUUGUCACCUUAACGCUCGAUGCACCCGAGUUACCGCGCACGCACGUCCGACCAACGGGCCGCCAGGUAUUUAUGCAAAUGAUUUUUCC